rnacentral:lncRNA from 1 species
AGCGACUUCCUGUCCGUGGGCUGAGAGGAGGGUGAUCAUGGGCCUGGGCCGCAGAACAGUGGCUCGGAGGGCGCAGGCUGCCCGGCCUCCGCCCCCUGCAAGCUGAGGGCUGUCCGCGCUGUCUUUCCGACGGCCCCACCCCCGGCUCUCUGAGCUCCGCGAGGUGAAGUCAUCUCCCGGGGGCUCGGGAGUGGCCGCGGGCCUCGCGGAGGUUCCCGGAUCUCGGCGUCGUUGCCGCGGUGUCCUUGUCUUUCUUUUGGGGACCAGGAGGGGGUUCUUGGGGGAAGGAGGGGAGAGCGGAGGCCGCCAUCUUGCUUCUAGAGGGUCAGCUCAUGUUCCCUGGGCGUCUCAGGGUUGAGGCCGCUCGUGUGGCGUGGCCGGGGGUAUUCAGAGCGGAGCUGGCGACGUGGCUUGUCACGGGCCAAAUCCCAGGAGGCGGGUCAGCCGCCUACCCUGGCUGGAGGGUCUCGUGGCUGCCCUGGGCCUCAUCUAACUGCUGAUCCCCUGGAGAAUUCGCUUUCUCGGACGGUCUGCGAGUUCUUUCUGAGGGGUGUCGGACCCCCCUGCGACUCUGCAGGUGUCGGUGUGGCACUGAGAUCAUCUUGCGGCCCCAUGGCACUGUGAUUUGGUAGCUUGUGAGAAGUAGUUUCACUAAAUCCGUAAAUUUAAGUUAGCAGCUACAGAUUCUUAUGUCUUGACAUUUAUUCGCUUAUCUCUCUUUGCUCCCCACAAAUUGAGUACCAACUAUAUUCCUGGUAUGAGCCAUUCAAGGAAUGUCCAGUCUAGUGGGCAGACAUACAUGAAAGCAAAUCAUUGCUAUUGGAAGUAUGGUUUAUCAAGAUGUACAGCGUGAAGAAUGGAUAGCUUUACUAACGUAGGUUAGAGUUUUAAAGAUAAAUAGGCAUUUUCUACUACAAAAAUAGGGGUGGGAUGGCAAAUCCGGAUCCGAACAGAAAGGAGAUGCAGCACGGGGACAAAUAAUUUGUUGAGAAGAAUGAGUAAUAAUUACAGGUCUUGAAGUUCAAACUUAGGUUGCUGAAGAAGAUGAGGCUGGAGAAGAAAACAGGAGCCAAAUCACGAAUCGUCUAUGCCUUGGAAUUGCUCCAUUCCAAUAAAAAUAUUUUAAAUUUAAUCAUUGACAACAGUUAAGCUGGCCAUAGGCUGAGGAUUGAGGAUGGUGGGUUGCACAAAUAUCUGCUGAAUGGAGAGCUAGAAGGAGGAUGACUUCAAGAAGAGUCAGCAAUAGGAACGCAAUGAAAGACAACCUCAAAUUCAUUAGUCAGCCUGUCUCAGCUGCUUUUUGGUGGCUCACAGCUAUGCUAACCUAGCAUAAAGCAGUGAGAAAUAGAAUACUUCAUUUUGAGCAGAGCUUCAGAAAACCACAAAUAGUAAAAGCCCUAUAAAUAAUAGCUACAGCUGCAAACCAAAGACUAAUUAUUAGUUUUUAACUCUAUAUCCCUGUAGAGCAGCAUUUUUGAACACACAAAAAAAGAGAAACGCGUUCACUUACGUCUUAGAUUAUUUAAAUACAGUAUUCUCAAUUUGUCUAGGAUAAAAAAGCAUUUAGGUGUAUUGAACAACCAUAUAAUGGAUAAUAUACUGAACAGGAAAUGAGAAUAAUUAGCUUGAGUCCCUUUUUUGUCAGUUGUUCACCGUAUGACCCUAGCAAUGUUACUUAACCUCUCUAUGCCCUAGUUUCUCUGACUGUAAAAUAGAGAUAAUAAUAACUUUCUAUCAGCCGCCUCUCAAAGAUAUUAUAGGAAAUAACAAAUUAAUGCUAUGAAAGCUCUUUGAGGUACUUGGAUGAAAGGGCAUAAUUGUAAGUACAUAUUAUUAGUAAUUAGCACUAAUAUCCAGUAGCACCCAUGAGCAUUCCUGACUUUGCUGCCUGGAUUACUCAAAGAACAUGAAGGAUCCUGUUUUGAAAUACACUUAGAUCUUUUUUCUUAACUUGUGAAUUGACUUUACUAUUUAUGAUCAAACCUUGUGUAUUAACAAAUAUAGUUAAUGAAAGAGGGAAGUAAAAAGAAGUUUUGGUAACCACAACUUUUAUAUUCAUGCUACUCAUAGCUAAUAUAUGCUUUGGGGGAAAAUACAGGGUAGAUAGGGAUUUGCCAGAAGCAUGUUUUAGAAUUAAUGAUUAGUCUACUCCAGUCAGUUAACUGGAAUUUUGUAUUAAAAACAUUAUUCAUGUCCCCAUAGAAUAAUGCAGUCCCUAUAGAAUUUAUAGACAGUUACAUGUUUGACACAAUUAAGUUGAACAUUCCUGUGAAACUCUGUCAUUCUCAUCACUGUUUAAUCACAAACAUGUAAUGAAAUAUAUAGACUUGUGAAGUUUUGUCCAAUGUCUAUCCCUAAAGUAGAUGAGAAUUUUUUCCAUUAAAUUGGUGACUUCAGUAUUUCCUUUAGAGAGGUGUAUGCAUAAUGUAAACAUUUAAAUGUAUUCAUGACUACAUAAUGUGCAUGUUUAUUUUUAUACACUUGCUUAUAUACCAAUUUAUAAAAUUAUCAUAUAAUGUAUAUUAACUAUACAUCUGGGAACAGCAAUGACAAACAAGGCUUCUUUGUGUUUUAGGGCCAGAUAAGAAAGUAAUUGGUUAAUAGCCAUUUGUCACCACUGGUGAAAAAUCAACUCAAAAUCAUGUUUUAUUAUUUAUUAGAGUUAUGAGCAUUAUCUAUAAGAUUCAUGACACCAUGACUUGGUGUGGUGGCUCACACCUGUAAUCCCAGCAUUUUGGGAGGCCGAGGCAUGUGGAUCGCUUGAAUACAGGAGUUAAAGACUAGCUUGGACAGCAUAGGGAGCCCUCAUCUCUAUUAAAAAAAAAAAUUAAAAAAAAACAACACUAGGCAGGCAUAGUGGCAUUCACCUGUGGUCCCAGUUACUCAGUAGGCUGAGGUGGAUCCCUUGAACCCAGGAGGUCGAGGCUACAGUGCCUGUGAUCAUUACACUGUACUGCAGCCUGGGCAACAAAAUGAAACCCUGUCUCAAAAAAGAAAAAAAAUUCCGUGACACCUUGACAUUUGUACUAUUUCAUUUUGUUUUCACAAUUUUGUGAGAUACAAAUUGUUGAAAGAAAUAGGCUCAGAGUGCUGAAAGACUAGCGCUCUGAGACUAGUUUUUAAAGACUUAAAAAUUCACUACAGUUGUCAAGUAACAUACCCAAACACACAUUUUGAGAUUCUCAAAAUAUAUUGUUUCUUUUAGUACUUUAUACCAGGGUCACCAGCUUGAUAUGACAGUCCAGAAUGUAUUUAUAAUAUGGACAUUUCUGGCUUAUUAUUGAUUGCCUGCAGCAUCUCCAAAAUUCAGCCAAACUUAACGUUUUUAAAACUGAAAACUACAAUUCUUAUGUUUAUGGCUGUAUCUUUACCAGCUUGAAGACAGGUACAUUGUUUUAUUCAUUUUUGUAUCCUUCAUGGUGCCCAAAAUAAGUACUCAGAAAAUAUUUUGGGGAUGAGUAAAAUGUAUAUUGUGAUGUUUAGUUGAAUUAGCGGGAAAAAAGCUGAUACAAUCACCUCAGAAACUUUUUUAGGAGGUCGUACACAUUUUCAGCACAUUCAUGUGAAGAUAGUUUAUUUGGGUUUGUACUUUAAAUUGGUGGAACCAUUGCCUCAAUUUCCCACUUCAUUUUUAAUGACGUCAUGCCUUGGAGAGAUAGGCUUAAGUAGGUGAUGCAGAUGACAGUCACCUGUAUGAUAUGCCUCUGGAUAUGUUUGUUGGGCUUAGAUAGUCCGGAUGACCCACAACAAAAGGGUCAUCUAGAAUAUCUAAACACAGCUUUAAUGAGAAUGUGUAAAGAGUGGGGUUAUGAGAGUUUGGGUCUUCAUAAUUCUCCCCUUCAUGCCGACGACCCUUGUGGACCACAUAUUUCUAUACUUUUCUGUCAAGGGAUUAGAGGAUAAGACUACUCUAUCAGUGGUUCCCAAAUGUGACUGCUUAUCACAAUCACCUGUGUAGUUUCAAAGGCAAUUCAGAUUCUCAAGUCCCACUCUAAACAGAAAAUAUUUAGAUUUAGGAUUAGAAAAUACUGGGUGAAGUCCAAGGCAUCUGUAACUGUAAUAACACUCUCCCUUGAAUUCCAAUGAUCAGUCAGGUUUGGGAAGUUCUGGUUUCAAUAACUUGUUCAAGGUCACACAGAACCCUAAAUAGAGCCAGAAACUAACUCAAAUCUUUUGAGUCCAAGUUAAAUAUAUUUUCAUUGGACUCCUGCUGUCCAUUUACUGACAAUAUAUGAUGGGGUAGGAUGAAGAGGUGGGGAGAAAAGUAGCAAUUUUAGUUUUUUCAUUUUUAUUUUUUACCAUAUUCUAUGACAUGGUUUUAAGAUUAAAUGAGCUAACAUCCAUAGAGUGCUUAGAACAGUAUCUGGCACAUGGUAAUUAGGUGUAACGGUUCAACGAAUAAGUCUCCAUUGUCCAGUCAUGGCAUUCACUUUGCCUGGGGUUACAUUAGGUAACAUUUUAUUGGAUAUCGACUUUUUCUAUGAAGAAAAAAAUGUAUGUAAAUAAAGGUGGAAUCUUUAGCCUUUAUUUGUCAUGGAAGCCCUGAAUUUGUAUAGCUGAAAAUAUUUCUAUAUUGUUUCUUUUCAUCUUUUCUGAUAUAUUAAGAAAAUGUUAAUGAUAUACUUAUUAAAUAAAAUUGUGGAUGUAUAGCUGUGUAGUAUUUUUAUAUUAUCUAAUUUAGCAUAUAAGAUAAGGUAUUUUACAUUGUCUUCCUAUCACUGAACUAGCUCCAAAAUUGAUUCUUAUUGGUAUGUAAUUAAGCAUUUAGUUUUUAGAAGUUAUUGUUUGGAUUGAUCUUCCAGAUGAAAUAUUUCCCCUUAACGAGGUAAUAGAUAUACGUGGCUCUAUUUUAUUCCCUUAUUUCUCUGCAAGUUUUUCAGUUUUUCAAUCUUGAACAACUUUUUACACUUGUUAAUUAUAAAUAAAAUUAUGCAUUUUCAUUACUAGUAAGGGAAGAACCCAAUUUAAUACUUUAAAAUGCUCUUUGAUACAUUUGGACAAAGUCUGUGAAAAUAUGCCUUUGGUCAGUCCCUGUCACUAUGAAAAUUGACAUCCAUUUUUGUUUUUAUUCAGUUUUAUAAGUUAUAUUAUUUUUGAGGGAUUACCCUAUACCCAGCAUCAAUUUCUAGUGGCUCCUGUAAUCCCAGCACUUUGGGAGGCUGAGGCAGGAGAAUGGCGUGAACCCGGGAGGCGGAGCUCGCAGUGAGCCGUGAUCGCGCCACUGCUCUCCAGCCUGGGCAACAAAGCGAGACUCCAUCUCAAAAAAAAAAAAAAAAAAAAAAAAAAAAAAAAAAAAAAAAAAAAAAACCAAUUAUUGUAUUAUAAAUGAAUUGAUUUAUCCUGGAAAAAGGUAGAAGUAGUGAUAGACCAGAACAGAAGAUAUUUAUAACCUCAGGAGGUAUAUGGCAGGUAGAGUAGAUCAGACUAAUGGAGAAGCUAGAAAAAGAAUCAGAUAUCAUCAGUGAUGAAGCUCCUAACUAUUUGAAUCCAGAGUCAGCCAAGGAAAUGGGGUUAAAUUACCACUUGUGAAAUAUUUGCAGUAUUUCAGACAUUGUAUAAGGCACUUACCAAAACAAGAAAUGGCUGGCUAGGUCCCAUGAAUCUAGGUAGUUUGAGUCUUGAGAGUCAGAGAAAAUAGUAAUAGUAAACAGGAUAUUUAUAUUACUCUAUAUUUCUACACUUAUAUACUUUAUUAUAAGAAUUCAAUUAAUAAUAACAUGAGUGUGUGUUAGUUACUACUUAUAAUCAAAUUAACAAGUUUUGAACUAUACUCAUUCCUUCCUCCAUUCUUUUUACAAUAGAGGCCAUCAUUCAAUGCGUAUUCUAGGUCUUGGCUACUCCUGUCUAGUUGGGACCUUGGUCCAUCAAUUAUUCUCUUUCUGUUGUGUCUUCAGCCUCUCACUCUUUACUGGUUUCUUGCCAUUAGCAUUCUCAUUUGUUAAAGUGUCUUCUUCAUGCAUAUCCUCCUUCUAGCUUCUGCUCAAAUUAUCCUUUCCCCUAAGGAGAAUUUUUGAGAAAAUUGUCUAUGCUUGCUUAUCACCAAUUCCUCACCUCCAAGUUACCCUCAACCAUAUAUUAGACUUUUACCC